UACGUAUGGUGCAAGCGUUAUCCGGAUUUACUGGGCGUAAAGGGAGCGCAGGCGGCGCGCCAAGUCUGAUGUGAAACCCCGGGGCUCAACCCCGGGCAUGCAUUAGAAACUGGCGGGCUGGAGUGCCGGAGAGGUAAGCGGAAUUCCUAGUGUAGCGGUGAAAUGCGUAGAUAUUAGGAGGAACACCAGUGGCGACGGCGGCCUACUGGACGGUGACUGACGCUGAGGCUCGAAAGCGUGGGGAGCAAACAGG
rnacentral:rRNA from 1 species